rnacentral:rRNA from 1 species
UACGGAGGGGACUAGCGUUGUUCGGAAUUACUGGGCGUAAAGCGCGCGUAGGCGGAUUUGCAAGUCGGGGGUGAAAGCCCGAGGCUCAACCUCGGAACUGCCUUCGAUACUGCAAAUCUCGAGUCCGAGAGAGGUGAGUGGAAUUCCUAGUGUAGAGGUGAAAUUCGUAGAUAUUAGGAAGAACACCAGUGGCGAAGGCGGCUAACUGGCUCGGUACUGACGCUGAGGCGCGAAAGCGUGGGGAGCAAACAGG